GACGAACCGUCCAAACGUUAUUCGGAAUUACUGGGCUUAAAGGGUGCGUAGGCGGUGCGGAAAGUUGGGUGUGAAAUCCCUCGGCUUAACCGAGGAACUGCGCUCAAAACUACCGUGCUGGAGGAAGACAGAGGUGAGCGGAACUAAGGGUGGAGCGGUGAAAUGCGUUGAUAUCCUUAGGAACACCGGUGGCGAAAGCGGCUCACUGGGUCUUUUCUGACGCUGAGUCACGAAAGCUAGGGGAGCGAACGGG
rnacentral:rRNA from 1 species